rnacentral:ncRNA from 1 species
GAAGAAUAUUAGAUUUUCUUAAUGUUCUGUGUGUAAGCUAGCAGCUCGGCAACAGGACGUUGCCGAGAGCUCAAGUUGAGCCAGGGAUGGCGAAUCUUGAGCGGUUGCGUAACUAUCGUGAUACUUGUGCCAGAACAUUUAGAAAAUGUUAUAUUCG